UUUUUUUACUUUAGUAUCAAUUGUUUUCUUUACUUAUUGUUUGGAUUACGUAACUUGUUUUAAGCUGAUUUUGUGAAUUAUUUCCUGUUUUAGGUUGUGUGUUUUGUUGUACAUUCUGGGGUUAAUUAAUUUUGUUAUCUCUUUUGGUUUAUCCUUUCCAGUGGCUGCAGGCUGGUGGUGGUGCUGGUGACGUGGGUGGUGAUGGUCUUCCUUCUUGUGUGCCGUGUUUCCUUGGAUUUGGUGCUCUCACUGUGUCUGGGUGAACCCUUUUUCUUUAAUGUAGUUUUAUUUAAUUCUCCUUCCCCUUCACCUGCUCUUCCCACCAGUAGGCCUCUGCCCCUGAUUAGGUUUUUUCCUUUUUCUUAUUUGUGAUGAACGCUACAUUUUAUGGUAAUAUCUAAAUACAUUUUAUUAAAUAUUUUUGUAAACUGUGAACCACGUGUUUUGCCUGUUUAGUGGAACAAACCUGUGUGCUCUAAAGGUCUUGGGCUUAUCCCAAGUGGCGUUGUUGGAAAUCUUAAAAUCCCUGAGUGUCAUCUAUCCCAUUCUCAUCGCCACAUUUAUUUAAAGACUAUUCUUUGAGAAUUUGUUCAACUGUGGGAUGGUAUCUCAGUUGGUCUUCCUGUGUAUUUUUAGUUGGCCUUGAUAAUGUUUAGUAACAGUAACUUUUUUUCACUUUUUUUAUUCAAGUAUUACAAAACAUUGUGCAUAGUACAAAUAUCUGAUCUUUCACAAAUCCACUAGUGGAGAAGUGACAAGCGGGGCUUCCUUGGAGUCUUCUCUCUCUCUUUUCCUCUCCCUCUCCUCUGCUCGCUCUUUUUUUCCUCUCUCGCAGUGCAGUGUGUGACUGGCCGCUCCUGGGAUUACUCGCAGCUGCAGGCAAUCUCUAAUCAACCACCUGUUUCCCGUGGCUCAUCAGUGCAGCAUCUUAAGCUGUGGCAGCUCUCUGUUCGGCGCAGGAUAGUUAAGUCUAGUCACGUAGGAGAACCACUCUGGUCCACGGUCUCUCAACCUGCCUGCUGACGCCACCCUCUACCUGCCAUCACCAGUCCUGCAUGCCUCGUCUUCCCUGCUGGUGUCCACAACCUGCUCUGUUGCCUGUUUUCCCACCAGUCCAUUCUGCGUCAUUUUCUGAUUCAUUAAUAAACUGUGUAAAACUUC